rnacentral:rRNA from 1 species
UACGUAGGGGGCAAGCGUUGUCCGGAUUUAUUGGGCGUAAAGAGCGUGUAGGCGGCCUUACAGGUCAGCUGUGAAACAUCGAGGCUCCAACCUCGAGACGUCGGUUGAAACCGUAUGGCUAGAGUCGGAAGAGGAGAGUGGAAUUCCCGGUGUAGCGGCGAAAUGCGCAGAUAUCGGGAAGAACACCCGUGGCGAAGGCGGCUCUCUGGGACGGUACUGACGCUGAGACGCGAAAGCGUGGGGAGCAAACAGG